rnacentral:rRNA from 1 species
GAUGAACGCUAGCGGGAGGCCUAACACAUGCAAGCCGAGCGGUAUUGUUUCUUCGGAAAUGAGAGAGCGGCGUACGGGUGCGUAACACGUGUGCAACCUGCCUUUAUCUGGGGGAUAGCCUUUCGAAAGGAAGAUUAAUACUCCAUAACAUAUUGAACGGCAUCGUUUAAUAUUGAAAGCUCCGGCGGAUAGAGAUGGGCACGCGCAAGAUUAGCUAGUUGGUGAGGUAACGGCUCACCAAGGCGAUGAUCUUUAGGGGGCCUGAGAGGGUGGUCCCCCACACUGGUACUGAGACACGGACCAGACUCCUACGGGAGGCAGCAGUCGAGAGGCUUCCGCAAUGGGGGAAACCCUGACGGAGCGACGCCGCGUGGGGGAUGAAGGCUUUCGGGUUGUAAACCCCUUUCAGGUGGGAAGAACAGUCACGAGGUGAACAAUCUCGUGGCCUUGACGGUACCGCCAGAAGAAGCUCCGGCCAACUCCGUGCCAGCAGCCGCCGUAACAC